CCCUUAGAUGUUCUGGGCCGCACGUGCGCUACAAUGCUGGGUGCAUCGAGCCUACAACCUUGACUGAGAGGUCUGGGUAAUCUUUUCAACGCCCAGCGUGCUGGGGAUAGAUUAUUGUAAUUAUUAAUCUUCAACGAGGAAUCCCUAGUAAACGCAAGUCAUCAACUUGCAUUGAUUACGUCCCUGCCCUUUGUACACACCGCCCGUCGCUACUACCGAUCGGAUGGCUUAGUGAGUUUGAGGGAUCACGUUUCAAGGAUGCUUUGCGUCUUUGGAGUGUGAAAACUCACACAAACUUGAUCAUCUAGAGGAAGUAAAAGUCGUANCA
rnacentral:rRNA from 1 species